rnacentral:lncRNA from 1 species
GGUGUAAAUUACUCAGAAAUAAUUCAAAAUGUGUGGCGAAAAGCUAAAUGGAAAAGAAAUAUUUUCCUGAGCAUUUAAAUUUUCCCCUUCCAAAAAGGAUGUUGUUUUGUAAAAAUCCUGCAGAAAGAAAUUAAAAGGGAAAGGCUUCACCUAUCUUUUAUAAAGACGUAACAUUCUUUUUUUUCUGUCUCUCUCUUCUUUUUCCCAUUGGGUAGCUGAGUGCUAUCCAAUCCAAUCCAAGGAGAAUUCAUGAACAUAGAUUACUUUUAGUUUUUCUGGUUUGCCCCUCAUUAAGCUGUAAGCCUCAGGGGAAAGAAAUGAGACUUAUCUGGUUUCUGGUUUGCUACCUGCCUAACCAUUAUCAGCUGGCAUCAGGUAAAGAAAUGAGCCUGAAAGAGUGAGGGACAGAUGCAGAUGCUGGAAGCCAGGGAGGUCAAAGGAGUCACACUGAUGAAAGAAAUGAGGAUUUUUCUUAAUGCUUUGCUUUAAAAUGAGUUGUUCUAUCAGCAGGACAAGUGGGACUCCUGCUUCACCCAUGGAUUUGUGUCUUGAGGUUGGAUUCUCAGGUGUCUAACAAAGGAGAAGUGGUAAUCAGAGGUGUACUGUGUUCAGGAGUCUUUUAGAAACGCCAAAAGUCAUUCCAGCUUUGCUGCCUUCAUUGGUUAGAGGAGAGCCAAAUGCCUUUGCUCUCUUCUGCCUCCUACAGAAGCAUCUGGCCCGGAGUCCCUGGACAGGAAGCUGCAGCCCUUGUUCAUGGAUCUACUGCUGGGGUUGUAAGGAAAAACAGAGGAAUGCAUCAACCCUGCAGCAGACCAUCUGGGAAAUUUCUACAUGGGCUUGCAUCUUCAUUGGAAUGACUGUGGAGGAUCACAGACUGAAAUCUAUGACUUCAGCUGGCUAUAGCAGCAGCCUGAGUAGCAGGAAACCCAGUAUGGGAUAAUGGUUUGGAUUUUGCACAUCAUGCAGUCAGUGAACAUAGCCGAGUUCUGUACUUUGGCAAACAGUUGAGAUAAAGAAAUAAAAUAAAACACAGAAAUGUAAUGAGAAACA